rnacentral:rRNA from 1 species
UUACUGGGCGUAAAGAGCUCGUAGGUGGUUUGUCGCGUUGUUCGUGAAAUCUCACGGCUUAACUGUGAGCGUGCGGGCGAUACGGGCAGACUUGAGUACUGCAGGGGAGACUGGAAUUCCUGGUGUAGCGGUGGAAUGCGCAGAUAUCAGGAGGAACACCGGUGGCGAAGGCGGGUCUCUGGGCAGUAACUGACGCUGAGGAGCGAAAGCGUGGGGAGCGAACAGGAUUAGAUACCCUGGUAGUCCACGCCGUAAACGGUGGGUACUAGGUGUGGGUUUCCUUCCUUGGGAUCCGUGCCGUAGCUAACGCAUUAAGUACCCCGCCUGGGGAGUACGGCCGCAAGGCUAAAACUCAAAGAAAUUGACGGGGGCCCGCACAAGCGGCGGAGCAUGUGGAUUAAUUCGAUGCAACGCGAAGAACCUUACCUGGGUUUGACAUGCACAGGACGCCGGCAGAGAUGUCGGUUCCCUUGUGGCCUGUGUGCAGGUGGUGCAUGGCUGUCGUCAGCUCGUGUCGUGAGAUGUUGGGUUAAGUCCC